rnacentral:rRNA from 1 species
CCCUUAGAUGUUCUGGGCCGCACGCGCGCUACACUGACGAAUGCAACGAGCUUAUAACCUUGGCCGAAAGGUCUGGGUAAUCUCCAAAUUUCGUCGUGAUGGGGAUAGAUUAUUGCAAUUAUUAAUCUUCAACGAGGAAUGCCUAGUAAGCGCAAGUCAUCAGCUUGCGUUGAUUACGUCCCUGCCCUUUGGACACACCGCCCGUCGCUCCUACCGAUUGAAUGGUCCGGUGAAGCGUUCGGACCGUGGCCUUUGGACGGUUCGCCGUCUGUUGGCUGCGGGAAGUUCGUUAAACCUUAUCAUUUAGAGGAAGGAGAANUCGUANCA